AUUGAACGCUGGCGGCAGGCCUAACACAUGCAAGUCGAACGAGUGGCGGACGGGUGAGUAAUGUCUGGGAAUCUGCCUGAUGGAGGGGGAUAACUACUGGAAACGGUAUCUAAUACCGCAUACCAUCAGAUGUGCCCAGAUGGGAUUAGCUUUUUGGUGGGGUAACGUCUCACCAAGGUGACUUUCCCUAGCUGGUCUGAGAGGAUGACCAGCCACACUGGAACGGAGACACGGGCCGGACUCCAUCGGGAGGCCGCAGUUGGGAAUAUUGCACAAUGGGCGCAAGCCUGAUGCAGCCAGGCCGCGUGUAUGAUGAAGGCCUUCGGGUUGUAAAGUACUUUCAGCGGGGAGGCGUUACCCGCAGAAGAAGCACCGGCUGACUCCGUUCCAGCAGCCGCGGUAAUAC
rnacentral:rRNA from 1 species